UCCUGCUCAUCGAAGUCUUACCUUGACUGGCAGUUCCGUGGUCACUCUAAUAUGGGGUCCAAAGUGGAUUUGGGCACUACAUGCGCGACCGUCGAUCCUUGAUUAGUGUGGCCGAUGCAAUAGGUGCGCGAAAUAGUAAGUAAUAUUGAUAUUACGUCUCCAUGUGCUAUUAUUGCACAUGCUUUUUUUUUCGCUCGUAACCGCACUGUUCUUUUGGUUUAACAUUUUUCUUCUUGUUUCGCUGGCCGCCAUUUUCCGUUGCGGCCCUUUAGGAAAAAAAAGACAUGUUGUUUCUUUUGCAACCAUUUUCGUUUUUAAAAUGGAAGAAAGAAACUAUAAAAAUUAAUGUUAUUUAUAUCCUUAAAAAAUAUGUCCCUUUCCCACAAUGCCUCCAAGUAAGUCAGUUUGUGCAUGGCCUACGCUUGCCGAAAUGUCCGCAUUUGCGUUCCGUGUUUUCGCAUUAUGGACAUUGGCUGCAUUCUCAUGUGGCAGCUGAAAUCUCCAAAUCAAAGCAAUGUAAACUUUCCUGCUGUAACGCACAAUUUUGUAGACAUGAUGACGAAACUCCUGGAAUAAGAUAUAAAGAAAAACCCAAAAAAGAAAUAAAAUCAAUGACAAAAGGAGCGGAAAUAGCAAACUAAAGGAAGUAAGCAGACGGUUAACACGGCCGCACUAGUGGGCCGGGUCAUGGCAAACAAAUUGUGAAUGUGGAUCAGGUUGGGUCCGCCUAUCAACAUCAGCAACGGCAUUCCUAGUGCCCCCCAGAAACAGAAGCAAUACAGCAGCGGAAGCUCCAUCUACAUCCAACGAUCUGUCGGCCCAACCACGCCCUCCGAGUCGGCGCAACGACGACACCAGCAGCUGUUAAGUCCCCCUAGUCUCUAAGUUUACGCACUGUCGCCGCCAAUAUCUGUUUUUUACAUGUAGAAAUUUAAAAAUGUUUUAUUUGAUAAAGUUAGAUCCAUAACAUGAUUUCUUGCCAUAGUCCGACCGAAUUUGCUUCACCAUAGUAUGACCAGAAUAACCGGCAAGCUUUUGGCAUACGUGCAGUUUGCUCUUCUGGACGGCUGGCUCUUCUUGUCGAUAUUGGAUCGUCUGUUUAGUUUGUCUGCUGUAUGAUUGUCUGAUGCCCACAAACCGUUCCAAAUUACCACGCACACACUUUUAAAUUUUUUUUCGUUUUUACAUUUUU
rnacentral:sRNA from 1 species